rnacentral:antisense_RNA from 3 species
CUUCAGCGAGCCCAGCCACAGCGGCCGGUCCCCGUCCCGCUCCUUGCCGUACGUGGCGAGCAGCGCCUGUGCCUC